UCCAUUCUCAACCAGUUUUCAACCCAUCUGCACCUCUCUGAUAGACACGGUGCUAAGGGUCCCACGGGAGGCUGUGGACGUCGGGUUCGACCAUGUCACGAUCGUCUACCGUGAGCUAAGAAUUUCCUGGCCCGGCGCACGUGUUCCACGGUGCAUCCAACAGGGAGGAGGGGAGAGGAACUGACCCAGGAAGCAGAAGCAGGCGGAAGAUCCCAUCCCGUAGGCUCAAGGCAAAGGAGCUGGGAGACUAUCCACCCCAGCGCUUAGUAAAGUGCCUGGCACAUGAUUCCAUACAGACUGGGCUCAGGGUGAGCAAUAGUCAAGAGUUCCAGGGUCUCUAGGAAACCAUGCAGACGAAGGCCGCUUCCCCAGAUGUCAACAUUGUCUGCAAGUUCUCUAGUAUGUUUGUGUUGCACCGGACUGCUCAGUUUGGAAAUAACCACGUGAUGUUAACUGGUAACAGUAAUAUCUUA